rnacentral:rRNA from 1 species
AGUGAACGCUGGCGGUAGGCCUAACACAUGCAAGUCGAACGGCAGCACAGUAAGAGCUUGCUCUUACGGGUGGCGAGUGGCGGACGGGUGAGGAAUACAUCGGAAUCUACUUUUUCGUGGGGGAUAACGUAGGGAAACUUACGCUAAUACCGCAUACGACCUACGGGUGAAAGCAGGGGAUCUUCGGACCUUGCGCGAUUGAAUGAGCCGAUGUCGGAUUAGCUAGUUGGCGGGGUAAAGGCCCACCAAGGCGGCGAUCCGUAGCUGGUCUGAGAGGAUGAUCGGCCACAUUGGAACGUAGACACGGUCCAGACGCCUACGGGAGGCAGCAGUGGGGAAUAUUGGACAAUGGGCGGAAGCCUGGUCCAGCCAUACCGAGUGGGUGAAGAAGGCGUUCGGGUUGUAAAGCCCUUUUGUUGGGAAAGAAAAGCAGCAGGUUAAUACCCCGCUGUUCUGACGGUACCCAAAGAAUAAGCACCGGCUAACUUCGUG